rnacentral:rRNA from 1 species
CACGCAGGCGGUUAUGCAAGUCUGAUGUGAAAUCUCCGGGCUCAACUCGGAAUCCGCGUUGGAAACUGCAUGACUAGAGUAUUAGAGGGGGAGUCGGAAUUCCUAGUGUAGGGGUGAAAUCUGUUGAUAUUAGGAAGAACACCGGUGGCGAAGGCGGACUCCUGGCUGAAUACUGACGCUGAGGUGCGAAAGCAUAGGGAGCAAACAGGAUUAGAUACCCUGGUAGUCUAUGCUGUAAACGAUGUGCACUUGGUGUUGGGCCGAUUAGGUUCAGUGCCGAAGCUAACGCGAUAAGUGCACCGCCUGGGGAGUAUGCCCGCAAGGGUGAA